rnacentral:rRNA from 1 species
GUAAAAAGUAGAAUAAUAGAUUUGAAAUAUUUAUUAUAUAGAUUUAAAGAGAUAAUCAUGGAGUAUAAUAAUUAAAUUUAAUAAAUUUAAUAUAACUAUUAAUAGAAUUAGGUUACUAAUAAAUUAAUAACAAUUAAUUUUAAAACCUAAAGGUAAACCUUUAUAUUAAUAAUGUUAUUUUUUAUUAUUUUUAUAAUAAGAAUAAUUAUUAAUAAUAAUAAACUAAGUGAACUGAAACAUCUAAGUAACUUAAGGAUAAGAAAUCAACAGAGAUAUUAUGAGUAUUGGUGAGAGAAAAUAAUAAAGGUCUAAUAAGUAUUAUGUGAAAAAAAUGUAAGAAAAUAGGAUAACAAAUUCUAAGACUAAAUACUAUUAAUAAGUAUAGUAAGUACCGUAAGGGAAAGUAUGAAAAUGAUUAUUUUAUAAGCAAUCAUGAAUAUAUUAUAUUAUAUUAAUGAUGUACCUUUUGUAUAAUGGGUCAGCAAGUAAUUAAUAUUAGUAAAACAAUAAGUUAUAAAUAAAUAGAAUAAUAUAUAUAUAUAAAAAAAUAUAUUAAAAUAUUUAAUUAAUAUUAAUUGACCCGAAAGCAAACGAUCUAACUAUGAUAAGAUGGAUAAACGAUCGAACAGGUUGAUGUUGCAAUAUCAUCUGAUUAAUUGUGGUUAGUAGUGAAAGACAAAUCUGGUUUGCAGAUAGCUGGUUUUCUAUGAAAUAUAUGUAAGUAUAGCCUUUAUAAAUAAUAAUUAUUAUAUAAUAUUAUAUAAAUAUUAUAUAAAGAAUGGUACAGCAAUUAAUAUAUAUUAGGGAACUAUUAAAGUUUUAUUAAUAAUAUUAAAUCUCGAAAUAUUUAAUUAUAUAUAAUAAAGAGUCAGAUUAUGUGCGAUAAGGUAAAUAAUCUAAAGGGAAACAGCCCAGAUUAAGAUAUAAAGUUCCUAAUAAAUAAUAAGUGAAAUAAAUAUUAAAAUAUUAUAAUAUAAUCAGUUAAUGGGUUUGACAAUAACCAUUUUUUAAUGAACAUGUAACAAUGCACUGAUUUAUAAUAAAUAAAAAAAAUAAUAUUUAAAAUCAAAUAUAUAUAUAUUUGUUAAUAGAUAAUAUACGGAUCUUAAUAAUAAGAAUUAUUUAAUUCCUAAUAUGGAAUAUUAUAUUUUUAUAAUAAUAAUAAAAAUAUAAAUACUGAAUAUCUAAAUAUUAUUAUUACUUUUUUUAAUAAUAAUAAUAUGGUAAUAGAACAUUUAAUGAUAAUAUAUAUUAGUUAUUAAUUAAUAUAUGUAUUAAUUAAAUAGAGAAUGCUGACAUGAGUAACGAAAAAAAGGUAUAAACCUUUUCACCUAAAACAUAAGGUUUAACUAUAAAAGUACGGCCCCUAAUUAAAUUAUAUAAGAAUAUAAAUAUAUUUAAGAUGGGAUAAUCUAUAUUAAUAAAAAUUUAUCUUAAAAUAUAUAUAUUAUUAAUAAUUAUAUUAAUUAAUUAAUAAUAUAUAUAAUUAUAUUAUAUAUUAUAUUUUUAUAUAUAAUAUAUAUAAUAUAAACUAAUAAAGAUCAGGAAAUAAUUAAUGUAUACCGUAAUGUAGACCGACUCAGGUAUGUAAGUAGAGAAUAUGAAGGUGAAUUAGAUAAUUAAAGGGAAGGAACUCGGCAAAGAUAGCUCAUAAGUUAGUCAAUAAAGAGUAAUAAGAACAAAGUUGUACAACUGUUUACUAAAAACACCGCACUUUGCAGAAACGAUAAGUUUAAGUAUAAGGUGUGAACUCUGCUCCAUGCUUAAUAUAUAAAUAAAAUUAUUUAACGAUAAUUUUAUUAAAUUUAGGUAAAUAGCAGCCUUAUUAUGAGGGUUAUAAUGUAGCGAAAUUCCUUGGCCUAUAAUUGAGGUCCCGCAUGAAUGACGUAAUGAUACAACAACUGUCUCCCCUUUAAGCUAAGUGAAAUUGAAAUCGUAGUGAAGAUGCUAUGUACCUUCAGCAAGACGGAAAGACCCUAUGCAGCUUUACUGUAAUUAGAUAGAUCGAAUUAUUGUUUAUUAUAUUCAGCAUAUUAAGUAAUCCUAUUAUUAGGUAAUCGUUUAGAUAUUAAUGAGAUACUUAUUAUAAUAUAAUGAUAAUUCUAAUCUUAUAAAUAAUUAUUAUUAUUAUUAUUAUUAAUAAUAAUAAUAUGCUUUCAAGCAUAGUGAUAAAACAUAUUUAUAUGAUAAUCACUUUACUUAAUAGAUAUAAUUCUUAAGUAAUAUAUAAUAUAUAUUAUAUAUAUAUUAUAUAUAAUAUAAGAGACAAUCUCUAAUUGGUAGUUUUGAUGGGGCGUCAUUAUCAGCAAAAGUAUCUGAAUAAGUCCAUAAAUAAAUAUAUAAAAUUAUUGAAUAAAAAAAUAAUAUAUAUUAUAUAUAUUAAUUAUAAAUUGAAAUAUGUUUAUAUAAAUUUAUAUUUAUUGAAUAUAUUUUAGUAAUAGAUAAAAAUAUGUACAGUAAAAUUGUAAGGAAAACAAUAAUAACUUUCUCCUCUCUCGGUGGGGGUUCACACCUAUUUUUAAUAGGUGUGAACCCCUCUUCGGGGUUCCGGUUCCCUUUCGGGUCCCGGAACUUAAAUAAAAAUGGAAAGAAUUAAAUUAAUAUAAUGGUAUAACUGUGCGAUAAUUGUAACACAAACGAGUGAAACAAGUACGUAAGUAUGGCAUAAUGAACAAAUAACACUGAUUGUAAAGGUUAUUGAUAACGAAUAAAAGUUACGCUAGGGAUAACAGGGUAAUAUAACGAAAGAGUAGAUAUUGUAAGUUAUGUUUGCCACCUCGAUGUCGACUCAACAUUUCCUCUUGGUUGUAAAAGCUAAGAAGGGUUUGACUGUUCGUCAAUUAAAAUGUUACGUGAGUUGGGUUAAAUACGAUGUGAAUCAGUAUGGUUCCUAUCUGCUGAAGGAAAUAUUAUCAAAUUAAAUCUCAUUAUUAGUACGCAAGGACCAUAAUGAAUCAACCCAUGGUGUAUCUAUUGAUAAUAAUAUAAUAUAUUUAAUAAAAAUAAUACUUUAUUAAUAUAUUAUCUAUAUUAGUUUAUAUUUUAAUUAUAUAUUAUCAUAGUAGAUAAGCUAAGUUGAUAAUAAAUAAAUAUUGAAUACAUAUUAAAUAUGAAGUUGUUUUAAUAAGAUAAUUAAUCUGAUAAUUUUAUACUAAAAUUAAUAAUUAUAGGUUUUAUAUAUUAUUUAUAAAUAUAAUAUAAUAAUUAUUAUUAUUAAUAAAAAAAAUAUUAAUUAUAAUAUUAAUAAAAUACUAAUUUAUCAGUUAUCUAUAUAAUAUCUAAUCUAUUAUUCUAUAUACU